CCUAACUAGGACGGAACUAGGACCUAACUAGGACCUAACUAGGACCGAACUAACUGUGGAUCUCUUCUGGAUGUUCUGGUGACUCGGGUAACUAUGGACACUAUCAAACAGGGCUUUACUUGGUCAGGUAACUAUGGACACUAUCAAACAGGGCUGUACCUGGUCAGGUAACUAUGGACACUAUCAAACAGGGCUGUACCUGGUCAGGUAACUAUGGACACUAUCAAACAGGGCUGUACCUGGUCAGGUAACUAUGGACACUAUCAAACAGGGCUUUAGCUGGUCAGGUAACUAUGGACACUAUCAAACAGGGCUGUACCUGGUCAGGUAACUAUGGACACUAUCAAACAGGGCUGUACCUGGUCAGGUAACUAUGGACACUAUCAAACAGGGCUGUACCUGGUCAGGUAACUAUGGACACUAUCAAACAGGGCUGUACCUGGUCAGGUAACUAUGGACACUAUCAAACAGGGCUGUACCUGGUCAGGUAACUAUGGACACUAUCAAACAGGGCUGUACCUGGUCAGGUAACUAUGGACACUAUCAAACAGGGCUGUACCUGGUCAGGUAACUAUGGACACUAUCAAACAGGGCUUUAGCUGGUCAGGUAACUAUGGACACUAUCAAACAGGGCUGUACCUUGUCAACUCGGGGACAUACCUGUAGUGGAUCUCUUCUGUAUAAUCUGAUGUUCUAGGGUCAGCAGUUUCCUGGCCAUGUUUAUGACUUGGCUGGGAAAGACUACUACUAAGGCUGUUCAAGUCACGUAUGGUCAUGAAAAACUCGGGUCUCCAUAUUAAAUACAUAUUUCAUUAUGGUUAGAUGUUUUUUUAUUUUUUUAUUUUAUGAACUCAAAAAAUAAUAUUACUAACGUUUUUAUUCAAUG